UNGCCUUUAACACUUGGACUUUUGGGGUCAC
rnacentral:piRNA from 1 species